UACAGAGGUCUCAAGCGUUGUUCGGAUUCAUUGGGCGUAAAGGGCGCGUAGGCGGGCGAUCAAGUCAGGGGUGAAAGCCCCCAGCUCAACUGGGGAAGUGCCUCUGAUACUGGUCAUCUCGAGGGAGGUAGGGGCGUGCGGAACUUCCGGUGGAGCGGUGAAAUGCGUAGAUAUCGGAAGGAACAUCGGUGGCGAAAGCGGCGCGCUGGACCUCUUCUGACGCUGAGGCGCGAAAGCCAGGGGAGCGAACGGG
rnacentral:rRNA from 1 species